AGGGGAGGGCGAGGGCGAGAGAGUUCGGGGUUGAUUACGGUCGAGGUAGGGGAAGAGACGGCUGCUGAUGAAGCGGGAGGCCUCGAGGCUGCCAUGGCUGUCGAAGAAGAGUCUGCGAGCUGAAGAGAAAAGAGGAAGAAGAGAGAAAAAAUAAAAAAUAAUAAAAUAUAAAAAUAAAAAAUAAUUUUUUCCUACAGAAAACAUCAAAAAUUAUAUAAGAAGGAAUAAAAUAAGAAAAUUGCACUAUUAAAAUAAAGUUACACUGUUGUAAAAAAUUGCACUGUUACAAUGAAGUUACAAUGUUUU
rnacentral:lncRNA from 1 species